CCCACCCCCAACCAGAGCUGCCUGCCUGCUCUGCAUUUAUGAGUGUCUCUAUUUGGCUUCUUAGCUCAUUUCCACAUAUGAGUGAAAUCAUUUGGUACUUGCUGUUCUUUGGCUUAUUUCACAUAAUGUUCUCCAGGUCCAUCCAUGCUGUUGCAAAGGAAUAAGGAAUGAGGACAGAUCACUGGCAGAUACAGAACUCUGUAUGAUUCCCAAAUGUUUCUCAGAUCGAUUCAUUUUCUUCUAUGUCCCCUCUCUGAGCCCAGGCUCCCUCGCGUCUUGCCUACGUCCCGUUCUUGCUGCGUUGGCGUCUCACGUCUCAUGGUGGCAUUGCCCCUGGUGACCGAUAGCCAGGCCCCCUCUAUCCUGGGCACCGGGGAGGCUCGCCUUUCCUGCACCUCUAUCCUGCAAGACCUGCGGCCACAGAAAUAAGAGCAGGAGCGACAAGGGUGCUUCCAGGUAGAGGCAUCUGAGCGGAUGUUCUCUGUCCUGUGGACAGGACCACCCACCUUCCCAACUGCAGGGCCAGGGUGGGGGAGUGAGGGCGAUGGGGAAGAGGGCCCUGGGAGCCCGAGACUAAAGGCAACGCGUGAGGAAUAAACCUUGUUUGUUUUGA